GACGAACGCUGGCGGCGUGCUUAACACAUGCAAGUCGAACGGAAAGGCCCUGCUUUUGUGGGGUGCUCGAGUGGCGAACGGGUGAGUAACACGUGAGUAACCUGCCCUUGACUUUGGGAUAACUUCAGGAAACUGGGGCUAAUACCGGAUAGGAGCUCCUGCUGCAUGGUGGGGGUUGGAAAGUUUCGGCGGUUGGGGAUGGACUCGCGGCUUAUCAGCUUGUUGGUGGGGUAGUGGCUUACCAAGGCUUUGACGGGUAGCCGGCCUGAGAGGGUGACCGGCCACAUUGGGACUGAGAUACGGCCCAGACUCCUACGGGAGGCAGCAGUGGGGAAUAUUGCACAAUGGGCGGAAGCCUGAUGCAGCAACGCCGCGUGCGGGAUGACGGCCUUCGGGUUGUAAACCGCUUUCGCCUGUGACGAAGCGUGAGUGACGGUAAUGGGUAAAGAAGCGCCGGCUAACUACGUGCCAGCAGCCGCGGUGAUACGUAGGGUGCGAGCGUUGUCCGGAUUUAUUGGGCGUAAAGGGCUCGUAGGUGGUUGAUCGCGUCGGAAGUGUAAUCUUGGGGCUUAACCCUGAGCGUGCUUUCGAUACGGGUUGACUUGAGGAAGGUAGGGGAGAAUGGAAUUCCUGGUGGAGCGGUGGAAUGCGCAGAUAUCAGGAGGAACACCAGUGGCGAAGGCGGUUCUCUGGGCCUUUCCUGACGCUGAGGAGCGAAAGCGUGGGGAGCGAACAGGCUUAGAUACCCUGGUAGUCCACGCUGUAAACGGUGGGUACUAGGUGUGGGGUCCAUUCCACGGGUUCCGUGCCGUAGCUAACGCUUUAAGUACCCCGCCUGGGGAGUACGGCCGCAAGGCUAAAACUCAAAGGAAUUGACGGGGCCCCGCACAAGCGGCGGAGCAUGCGGAUUAAUUCGAUGCAACGCGUAGAACCUUACCUGGGUUUGACAUGGAUCGGGAGUGCUCAGAGAUGGGUGUGCCUCUUUUGGGGUCGGUUCACAGGUGGUGCAUGGCUGUCGUCAGCUCGUGUCGUGAGAUGUUGGGUUAAGUCCCGCAACGAGCGCAACCCUUGUUCACUGUUGCCAGCACGUUAUGGUGGGGACUCAGUGGAGACCGCCGGGGUCAACUCGGAGGAAGGUGGGGAUGACGUCAAGUCAUCAUGCCCCUUAUGUCCAGGGCUUCACGCAUGCUACAAUGGCUGGUACAGAGAGUGGCGAGCCUGUGAGGGUGAGCGAAUCUCGGAAAGCCGGUCUCAGUUCGGAUUGGGGUCUGCAACUCGACCUCAUGAAGUCGGAGUCGCUAGUAAUCGCAGAUCAGCAACGCUGCGGUGAGUACGUUCCCGGGGCU
rnacentral:rRNA from 1 species